rnacentral:lncRNA from 1 species
UAAAAAGAUGGCAGCCGAUCUUACACCAAGAAAAUUCCCAAAAAAUUCCUAAUUCCAAAGGUUGAAAAACGGCAGCGCCCAGCCUUCAAGUCCAAAACAAAUUCUGCCGCUCACCCUAAUUCCAAAAUUGGAACAUUUCUUUCUUUCAAUUCAAAGAGCUAAGACCUAAAUUUCCCAAAGAAUCUCUAACCAAAUAGGUAGCCAUCACCUUUGAAUCUUAAAAAAGGAACCCUCAUUCCAAAAAAUGAAAAAAGGCAGUCAUCACCUUUGGAAUCUCCAAGAAAUUACAUUUUUCUUCUUUCUAUUUAAGUUCAAUUCUCUGGUUUCAAACAUGGAUUGCGUUUGAGGCGUUUGGAGUUGACAAACGUGAGGUGCCGCUUGGGGUUCAAGUUCUUGAUUUCUGGUUCAGAUUUGGUCAGUGUACUCAUUCAAUGCCAAUUCAUUGCCGAUUUUUUACAUCAUCCCUUUGUUUUGAAUUUUACAAUAUCGACGGUGGAGUAAUUUAUGUUCACUUGAAUUAUUCGUUUCAGGAGUUUUGUGUGUGCAUAUUUUAUAAUGCAGUAACUGCAUUCUGCAACAUUAUUUUUUUUAAAUCGUGCAUCCUACAAUAUUGUUUUCGGGUAUUUGUUUUUUAUUUUGGUUUUCAGUUUGUUACCCAUAGGGCUUUGACAUGUUACGUUUGAGUAAUAGUUUUUCUGUAGCAUGUAGCUAAGGUCUUACGUUGAUGUGGCUGAGUAAGAGUUGCCCUUUGGCUUAGCUAAGGUCGUACAUUGGCGUAUGAUGUUCAUGCAUGAAUGGGCAAAGAUAUAAUAGAUUUAGUGAUGGAACAAAAAGUAAUGGUACAUUGGUUUUGAUGGAUAUGAAUUAAGCAUUAAAGUGCAAAGUGGUCAUUCGAUGAAGAUACUGGAUUGGGUGUAAAACACUGACUUUGACCUUUAAGAUGUUUGUUUUUACCAAAAAGAGCCAUAGUUAAUUAACUUUGGGGGUUGGUUAAGAGUUAGUUUAAAUAAAAUAAUCAAUAAGUGAUUUAAGAGGGUGUGUGGUGCAGUUUAAAAAUCGUGGGAAAUUUUGGCUCAUGUUUGCUUGGUUCUAAGUUAAAAGAUUGGAGUAAUUGACUUCUUUGAAGAUUAGGCUUAAUAUUAAUGAUUCAGUUACUUUUAUUUUGAAGAAAUCUUGUUUGUGUUUUUACUACCAUGGAAUGUGUAAUUAGUUAAUGAUUUUUGACACUAUAGAUUAGCUUGUUAUUAACCUGAUUUAAUGAACUAGGUAUAUAAAUGCAUUUUAUGUUCUUUGUUAAUUUCAGUCAAGUUGGUUUCCCCUCUAAUAUGACAAUAGCUAUCGUUACCUAUGCAAAGUCAAGGCAUGUGAUUGUAAAGGUCUGUUGUGUCAUCGUGCUUUAAUCCAUUUACAACAAUCUUAAACAAUCUUAGGAAAUAAUCACUCAUGAACAUCGUAGCUUACUUUAGGCGCGAUUAUUAAACCAUCGUGAUUAUGGGUACCGUUCCCGUGGCAUGGUCACGAUGCCUAAUUCCAAAAUUUGGGGGUGCAUUUCAUGUGACCCGAUCGCAACAACUUUGAACAAUAAUAAAAUAAACAUGUCGCGAAUCGCGGGUGCAUUUCAUGUAACGUGGUUCGCUGUGUGUUCCAAAACGGCAAGUGUACGACAAUCAUAACUUGUUCAAGAAAUAAUUUCAUAAAUCCUAAAAGUGGUUUAAAAUAAUUAAAAGUGGUUAUAAAGCUAAAAAUGCACAAUAGGUAUAAAAUAUAUAGUAAACAGAUAAUAGGCCAAUUAUUAAUAGUUUAAGCGACCGUGCUAGAACUAUGGAACCGGGAAUGCCUAACACCUUCUCUCGGAUUAACAGAAUUCCUUACCCAGAUUUUCUAGUUUCGCGGACUUUAAAUAAAGUCAAUUUUCCACGUUUUGGGAUUUUAAAAUAAGUCGGUGACUUGGGACAACAAAUAAAUUAUUCCAAGUGGAGACUCUGAAAAUAAAUAAAAUAAUACCAUUUCGAUUUAUGUCACUUAAAUUGGAAAAACUCUCUUAUAUCCCCUCUCGGGUGGGUAAAAAGGAGAUGUGACAGCUAUCAUGGCAAAUGAAUCUGUGGAGUUAGGAGCUAGGUUGUGAUACCACAUCAUGGCCCCUUCGAGAGUGUUUCCCCGAACUUCUUUAGUAAGACGGACUCGAUCUCGUCAUCCCUUAUAUCGUUGCCAUUUACUGCACAGGUGUAGGCAGUAAUGUGCUCAUUGGGAUCUGAGGUCCCAUUGUAUUUUGGGAGUUCUAGCAUUCUGAACUUCUUUGGAAUGGGUUUCGGGGCCGCUUCCUCAGGGAACGGCCUUUGUAUGAACUUCUUCAAAUUCACACCUUUCAGGACUGGGGGUGCGCCCGGAAUUUGGUCGACCCUGGAGUUGUAAGUUUCGACCUUUUUGUCGUUGGCUUCUAUCAUCUUCUCGCCGGCUCGAUCCUCCUGGUGAGGUCCUCGAGCAUUUUUAUGAUGGCAGGAUCGGUCAUCGACGCGUUAUUGCUUGAUCUCUCCGGUACCUGUUCAACUGGGGAAGUUGUCCCCGGUGCUACCAUGCUAGGAGUUUUUUGGUGACUUUGCAGCUGAGCUAUAGCUAGCUAUUGUGCCUGCAAUAUUUCAAAAAUAACGUGAAGACUAACCCCACGUCCUUCCCUGGUCAAGGUUUUCUGAGCUUUUUGUGGAUCUCCCUGACGCACGCUCUUGUGGGUAUGUGAGCUUAUAUCGAUGCGUUGGGCAUCGCGAGAGACCACGUCCACGGGGAUUGGUUCAGGUAAAUUCCCAUGGUUUUGUGGUAGCACACCAACACCCGGGACAUCCACACCAUUCUCCCCAUGGUCCUCGAGAUUGUUGUUUUUGCCUCCAUUUACUGAGUUAGACAUAUUGACCUGAAAUCGAAGAUCUUAGACAAGAAAAAGCGUGAAAAAUAACUUACGUUGAGUGACGAAACCAGCAAGAAAAUAAUCACUAUUAUUUUUAGCCCCAUGGUGGGCACCAAACUGUUUACCGUGAAAAUAGUAAUAACAAUUAAAUUUGUUAAUGGGACUCUAAAAAUACAUGAUCUAUUUUUAUGCUAGUUUGUUAAGCAGUUGAUGCUAAGCGUACGAGAUCUAAAGACGAAAUGGAGUUAAGGAGGGAGCUAUAAUCAAACCAGUAGGCUAGCUACUCGGGGCCUAAGGCUUGUCGAUUUCGAGCCUCGAGGUCUAUCCCGGGGCUCGAUUACAAGCUAAUAAAGGUAGUUGCUACGUCACUAAUGAUUACAAUAGAAUCAAUGGAGGCUCUUUAUGGCCAAUGAUAAGCAAUAAAUGAAGAACAAAUAUGAAGACAGUGAAUGGAAGCAACAUAUCAAGAGAGUGUAUGAGAGAGUGUAUGGCCAAUGAUAGUACAAAAUACAUUAAUGAUAAAGAAACCGGAAUGGGACAGCUGGCUAACUUUAUGAUGUAGGCUUAGACUAGAUUCAGACUAGCCUGAUAGAUUUUGUCGGCCUCGGCUGCACUCUUUGGAACCCCCCCCCCCCCAUGCCCGUAGGGGUCAUGGCCAACGUUAUCCCCAAGUCGGGUGUCGAUAGACCUUGAGGGAGGGUAUUCGGUCAGUGGUCUCGAGCCUUCAAGGUGAUCUUCCGAGAUGCCUUAUUAACGAGAAAUUGGUUCCUUCGAUUUCUCCGUAUACACAGUUCUACAUCCGACUGUAUGCAUAGGUAUUCAUAAUUCAAACCUUCUAUCCCUUUGCCUCCUUCGACACCCUGAACCCGACUUGUCAAUUUCUUGAGUUCCUCAGCCAUGUUCUUGAUGAGUAGGUCCUUCUUAUCGGAUUUUGGUGUAUAGGACGUUGGUUGAGUAGAGUGAGGUAUGGUUUCCACAUAUAUAGGGUUGUUUUGGUGAGUGCUAGGAACUUGGGUUUAGUGGUGGUCAUUAGUUGAGUUUUGAGGAUCAGGAAUGGGUUGUGGUGUGUUCUGGGGAGUGUGAUAAGUAGCGGUUGGUAGAUACUGGAUUGGUUGAUAGUGGUGUUGUGGCAGAGUUGGUAUCGGUAAGGGAUUGAGAUUUUGAGGUGGAGUUGCAUAUUGAUGCGGUGCAUGAGGGUUUUGUGGAUGUUGGUUCAGUGUAUUUCGGGGAGGUGCUGGGGUUUUGGUGUUUUGUUGGUUGAUAUCGGGGACAUUCAAGGUGAGGGAUAAGUUUGCCAAAUUGUGUACCUGCUCAAGUUGUCCCUGUAGCUCCAGUAUAUUUUUUUCCAACUGUAAAACCAAAUCAUUUGGUGACGGAUUACUCCGACCAUCUGAAAUUUCUGCAUUCUCCGCAUUUUCCUUUCGAAUACCACUUAAGUCAUCCAUUUUAGUUUUCCCUUUGCUCUUUGUAUUACUUGGAGGAGGAGGAGGAGGAGGUCUUAUAGAUCUGGUGUGAUACGUUGAUGAUGCCAGUAUGUGCAACCAACCUUAGGGGAUGGGAAUAAAGGAUAAAGAAAAACAAAAGGUAAACAAGUCAGUAAGGGUUCUGAAAUGUUUGCAGUAUUUAAACACAUAUUGCGGAAAUGUAAGUUCGUAUCCUAAUUUGGGAGUCUCGUUGUGCCAGAGGUAGAACUAGCGACAAAUAGAUUUGGAGAAACUCAGUGCCAAUAAUUGCCUCAUUUCAUUAAUGUAAAAAUAAAUGCCCUAAAAUGACACUAAAUGUGGCACUUUUUAUUACAUUUAAAAGAAAAGCAAGUAAACAUAAUCUACUUGGUCCCAGAAGGACCCUCUCCAGACCGGAUGCUGUUGUCAAUCAACUCUCCCAGCUCCCACAGGUUCAUCAGUAAGAAUGCCCUUGCCAAAUGCCCUCCCUUAGCGUUCUGGCAGUCGGUGACCCUCUUUCUUAUCUUCCCUUCUAAUUCCAUUAAACUAUACUCCUGAUAUUCCAGUCUUUCGCUGGACUUAACAGCUCUCUCUUUUCACUCAUUAAUCAUUUCUAUAUCGGCCUUAUGCUGCGCCAUAUGCUCAACUUCAGACUCUCGAACUCUUUUGAGAAGCUUGUUAUACUUCACCUCUGCUUUGGCAAACUCAUUUAUGACCCUAUUUCCUGGACCAACCCUUGGCUCAAAGAUUCCUGAUAGAUUAUCACCCAACCAUUAGGGGUAAAAGUAUGAAUGGCCCGCAUGAUAUCGGUCCGCCUCGAUAGUAUUCUUCUCCACAAUAAUAUUCAAAGUCCACAUAUGUUGUGCUUCAUUUUUAUAUGGGAUGGUGUCACCCUGGAAAUCAGCUAUGAAGUAACUCAUUGUAGCGACCCGUGGUAUGACCCGUCUCCUGCCUGCAUGUCUCAUAACCCUGAGGGGAGCAUAAGGGUAUAUUCCCCUUAACCGAAUAUGUAACGAUCCGACCGGACAUUUUGAGCUCUAGCGCGUCUUUUAGCAAUUUGAGGCCACGAGCAGCUUCACUUCAGGUAUUAUGACUUGUGCGCAUGGUAAGAAUUGAAUUCCGGAAAGUUCAAAGUUGAUUUGGAAAGGGAAUUCUCAUUUCGAAAACUUUAAGUUGCAAGAAUUGACUAAGGUUGGAUUUUUGGGUAAACGACCUCGGAAUUGGGAUUCAAAGGUUCCAGCAGGUUCAUAUGAUGAUUUCGAACUUAGGUGUAUGUCCAGACUAGGUUUUGGAAGACCCGGGAACGUUUUGUCGCCUAUUGUGGAAGUUAGCAUUUUGGAAGAAAUUUCAUAAGUUUGGGUUGAAGUGAAUUUCAGUGUUAUCGAUGUCCGUUUGGGAUUCCAAGUCUGCGAGUAGCUCCGUAUAGUGAUUCUGGAGUUGGGAGCGCGAUCGAAAGUGAAUUCCGAGGUCCGUAGGUCAUUUUGGAGUCAUUUGGCUAAAGAUAGAAAUUUGAAGGUUUUUGAGAAGUUUGACCGGAAGUGGACUUUUUGAUAUCGGGGUCGGAAUCCAAUUCCGGAAGUUGGAGUAGGUCCGUAAUGUCAAAUAUGACUUGUGUGCAAACUUUGAGGUCAAUCGGACGUGAUUUGACGAGUUUCGGCAUCGAAUGUAGAAGUUUGAAAUUUUAAAGUUCAUUAAGCAUGGAUUGGAGGUCGAUUCAGGAUUUUAGCGUUAGUUGAUAUGAUUUGAGGCCUCGAGCAAGUACGUAAUGUGUUUUGGGACUGGUUGGUAUGAUUGUUUGGGGUCCCGGAGGAGUCGGGUGGAUUUCGGGUGGUUAACAGAUCGAAAAUGGAAUUUUGGAAAGGGCUGAAGUUGUUGCUUGCUGGUGUAACCGCACCUGCGAGACUAGGGCCGCAGGUGUGCUGCCGCAAAAGCAGCCUUCGUGCCGCAGAAGCGGAAAUAGACGGCUAGGCUGGGACCACAGAUGCGGUCGUUUUGCCGCAGAUACGGGACCGCAUCUGCGGAGGAGACGACGCUGAAGCGGAAUGGGCUGGGAGCCCUGGACCGCAGAAGCGAGCAAGAGACCGCAGGUGCGGAAAGUGCUGGAGGUAGUGGGUUGUUUUAAAGUCAGGAUUUGGCCAUUUUCUUUCAUCUUUCUCUUGGCUUGGGUGAUUCUUGGGGGGUUUCAAGAGGGGGUUUUCAUCAUCAAUGACAAGGUAAGCUAUCCCCACCUAUCUUGAGUUAAAUACAUUGAUUAUGUACGAAUUUGAGCAUGAAAUUUAAGGUUAUGGUGGGAAGACCUAGAAAUGGUAUUUUUGGAUUUUGGCAGCGAUUGUGGGUAGGAAAUUGAAAGUAAAUUAUAUAUUUGAGCUCGUGAGGUUGUGGGUAAACUUAUUCUUCGAAAUUUUUUGAAAUUCGGGCACGUGGGUCUGAGGGCGUAUUGGUCAACUUUUCGAUCGAGGUUAGGAAUUAUUAUAAAUUGGAUCAUUAGGGGUAAUUGAGCAUAUAUUAAUGGAUUUGCAUAAUUAUUGGCUAGGUUUGGAGCAUUGUGCAUCGAUUCGAGUCUUCGGAAGAGCGUGGAAUGCUGGGAUCUUUGGAGCGAGGUGAGUCUCCUUUCUAACCUUGUCAGAGGGAAUUGUCCCCAUAGGUGAAUAAUUAGUUAUGUGCUCCUAAUUGUGGAGGCUACGUACGCACGAGGUGACGAGAGUCCGUGCAUCGCUGCGAUUAUGUGAAAGUUCGGGUAGUCUAGGAUCGAAAAGCAUGCUAUACUUGGAAUAUUUGUAACCUUCUUGACAUAUGAAUUGCUUAAAUCCUAUCGAAUUGGUAAAUGAAUUUCUAAAAGGAUUAAACUUCAUUUUUAUAAAAUUGUUAAAAGAAAAUUGGAUUUUCUUUGGAUAAUUAUUCCGUGUUGACUUCUUGAUUGACUGUCUAUAUGCUUUUAAUUUCGGAACGGGCCAAACGCCUCGGUGGAUUAAAUAGAUGCAUCUAUGGUUCGCGCCAUUCGACCCUCUAGCAGUGCACAGUUUAAAUAUUGUUGGAUCGCGUCGUAUGUCCUCAGCAUGAUUUGCGCAUGCUUGUACUGCUUGCCUUGAGAUUUAUUGAUAUUGAUAUUUGCUCUUCCCGAAUUGAGAUAAUUUAAAAUUAGUAGAUUAUGAAUCCGGAGAAUUCUUAAUACAAAAAGGAACUUUUACCAGUUUGUGGCUUAUCUGAAAUUACUGUCAUUCUUAAUGAAUCCAUGAUUACUCGCAUUAAUAAUAUAUUAUUAUUGGACCUCUAGUAAGUGUCGAAGUCGACCUCUCAUCUAUACUUCUUCGAGAUUAGACGGGAUACUCAUUGGGUACACGUUGUUUUCGUACUCAUACUACAGUUGCUGUGUGUUUUUGUUGCAUAGGUCCAUAUGUGACUUAGCGGCAUGGUUGAUACGGAGACUUAGGCGAGCUGCAUUUAUCAAGAUGACCCGCAGCCAGCUGAGUCUCCUUCAGAGUACUGUAUUGUAUUUUCAUUUCUGUCCACUUGUAUUCCAGAUAGUUACUGUAUUUUAUUUCAUUCUCUAGUAAAUACUCGUGCACUUGUGACACCGAGUUUUGGGAGGAUCACGGGAUUUUUUAGUAGUUAAAUUUUGUAAAGUCAUCCUCAUUUAUUCAGUGGAGUUUAUUAUUUAUUAUUCAUUUGUUU